GAUGAACGCUGGCGGCGUGCCUAAUACAUGCAAGUCGAGCGAACAGAUAAGGAGCUUGCUCCUUUGACGUUAGCGGCGGACGGGUGAGUAACACGUGGGUAACCUACCUAUAAGACUGGGAUAACUUCGGGAAACCGGAGCUAAUACCGGAUAAUAUUUCGAACCGCAUGGUUCGAUAGUGAAAGACGGUUUUGCUAUCACUUAUAGAUGGACCCGAGCCGUAUUAGCUAGUUGGUAAGGUAACGGCUUACCAAGGCGACGAUACGUAGCCGACCGGAGAGGGUGAUCGGCCACACUGGAACUGGGACACGGUCCAGACGCCUACGGGAGGCAGCAGUAGGGAAUCUUCCGCAAUGGUCGAAAGCCUGACGGAGCAACGCCGCGUGUGUGAUGAAGGUCUUCGGAUCGUAAAACUCUGUUAUUAGGGAAGAACAUACGUGUAAGUAACUGUGCACGUCUUGACGGUACCUAAUCAGAAAGCCACGGCUAACUACGUG
rnacentral:rRNA from 1 species